rnacentral:rRNA from 1 species
UACGAAGGGGGCUAGCGUUGUUCGGAAUUACUGGGCGUAAAGGGCGCGCAGGCGGCCGCUCAAGUCAGAUGUGAAAGCCCCGGGCUCAACCUGGGAACUGCAUUUGAUACUGAGUGGCUAGAGUUCGGGAGAGGAGAGUGGAAUUCCCAGUGUAGAGGUGAAAUUCGUAGAUAUUGGGAAGAACACCGGUGGCGAAGGCGACUUCCUGGCCUGUUCUUGACGCUGAGGCGCGAAAGCUAGGGGAGCAAACGGG